rnacentral:rRNA from 1 species
CCUACGGGUGGCAGCAGUGAGGAAUAUUGGUCAAUGGGAGAGAUCCUGAACCAGCCAAGCCGCGUGAGGGAAGACGGCACUAUGGGUUGUAAACCUCUUUUGUCGGAGAACAAAACCCGGGACGUGUCCCGGCAUGCGUGUAUCCGAAGAAAAAGCAUCUGCCAACUCCUAGCAAGCAGCCGCGGUAAUACGGGGGAUGCGAGCGUUAUCCGGAUUUAGUGGGUGUAAGGGGUGCGUAGGCGGUCCGUUAAGUCAGCGGUAAAAUUGCGGGGCUCAAACCCGUCGAGCCGUUGAAACUGGCAGACUUGAGUUGGCGAGAAGUACGCGGAAUGCGCGGUGUAGCGGUGAAAUGCAUAGAUAUCGCGCAGAACUCCGAUUGCGAAGGCAGCGUACCGGCGCCAGACUGACGCUGAGGCACGAAAGCGUGGGGAUCGAACAGGAUUAGAUACCCUUGUAGUC